CAAGCAAUCCUCCCACCUCAGCCUCCAGACUACAGAAAAUAGGAUGCAAGAGUAGAAGCUGAUCCUCGAGGCUUGCGAAAGUGGGGUUCUUUCUGAAAGUGAAGCCAGCAGCCAAGAGCCACCCUUCAGAAGAUAAAAGGAAGAGCAGCUGCAAGAGCGAUGGCCACAGCAACGCAUGGGUCCCGUCUGUCCACGUAGUCCUCUCCAUCUGCCUGUAACUUGCCAGGUCUUCUACCCACACUGGGGAAAUUCCAGCUGCCAACCCUCUUUGGGUUGCACCUCCCCUUUUUGCACACAGCUCUAUUGGGAAGGCAGCUGUCAUGUGUCUAUUUGAAAGACAAGAAACCAGUCUAGUUGCGGAAAAGAGAUUUAGAUUACAUCAGAAUAACAAUGCAAAUCAUUUGUGCAGUUCUUAGUACAGAAAACAGAUGUAGGAACAAAAAUUGGGAGAGUUAAAGAAAGUGGUUUUUUAUUCUGUCAUCAAAAUUGUUUUUUAAAAACAUGUCACAAAAAAACACAUCUGUAGUAAGAUAAAUAAUUGUGUGCUGGCUUCAUAAACAGAAUGAAUGGUUGAAUUCACACAACAUUAUUUACUGUUUCAGGGCACACACACGUGGUUUCCAAGUGGUUUCUUGCCACUUUGGCCUUCAACUGGCCUUGAUAUUUUCCACUGAGGGUUGUCUGAUUGUCUCCACCACAGCCCUGAGUCUAAGCAAAAGCCCAUGGGUUGGUUGACUGGUGUUCCUGUCGUCCUUGGGAGUGGACAGACUGGCAGAUGUGGGGCUAGUGGGGAAGAUUCUCAUAAACAGUUUAUUUGUUGUAAGAACUCCAAUUGGAAUGUGGCUUCCAAUCAUGGGAGGAGGACUGCUUUAGAACAAGUUAGAGAGAGUGUGUGUGUGUGUGUGUGUCACACACUUGGUGCUUGGUGUUGCUGUUUUGUAUCAUUUCACCCUUUAGUCUGAAAUAGAAACUUAUUUAUUGAGAUUUGUUGAUUCAUGUUGCUGAUGAUACAUGGUAGUGUCACAAGUAUGGGAAGAACUUCUAAGUGUGUGGUAAUUCAGCCUUUUUCUUUUUUCUUUUUUUUUUUUUUUGUUGCUCUUUCCCUCUACACCUUGAUCUUGAAAAGCCCGGCAAGGAUUUUACACAGAGACAAGUCUUUAAAGGCUCUCCAGGCCUCAGCGAUACCAUGUUGUAAAUAAUCCUCUUCCUGGUGCUAAGCUUUUAAUGAAGCAGUGAAGAAAAUAAGAUGCAAAUCCCAAUCAGAUGAGGCCUUGUUGCAUAGUGUAUCAGAAAACAGCUGAGAACUCAAACAGCAGCUGCUUUUUCUUUUUCAGGAAACUUUCUAUAAUAAUACCAAUAAAACCCAAGACUAUUAUUCUGAACAGAAACAAGAAAUACAGCUGGAGCCAUUUCCUAUCCACCUGAUGAAGGGCACUACCAGGCACUCACUCUGGCUCUGUCCACCGAUGCCUGUGCCCACUUUGUGUGACGUAGCUUCCAUGGAGACAAGAGCAAUGGUAAUGGAAGAAGAAAGUCUGGAUGUACUCGUGCAGAAAGAGAAAGCUUCAUGGAACAAUAUUAAUCUUCUGGUCAUCUCUGCGCCCAUAAAGUUGUCAGAUUGACUUUGGAUUUAAAGCCUGAAAAUGAGUCCCAAGGAAGUCCAUUGACAUGAGGCCCAAGGAAGACAGUUUUUGGAAGGGGCAAGACAGGAAGGAUGGUUUGGUCACUGUGAGGAAGAGGAGGGUAGAAAAGCCUCAGGACAUCAGAAUCUUUAGGAAGUGGCUACUGACAAUCAAGCAGAGUUUUCUCCCUGUGGGUCUCUAUCCAUUUAGUGGCUUUUUGUGCUAAGCAGCUCAGUGACUGCCUUCUGCUCCAGAUGUGACCUUCAGUCUCUGUUGCUCCUUUCUGCUGGCAAUGCUCAGUGUAAUUUCAGCCACAAAGGAAAGGAGGUGAAGUGAACAUCAGUGGGAGCCUAAAAAGUUAAACAACGGAUGUGUUUUCCCAGUGUAGAGAAAAGCUUGCUUCUCCAUCCCCAGGACUUUGUGCCCUGCUCACCUGGAAGAGAGAAGAGGGUUAGCCCCUUGACAAUGGAAAGGAAUAAGGGAGAAAAAACAGAUGAAGGAGAGUAUGAAGAAGUAGAGUGGCACUUUAUAUACCCCAUCUCCAAGCGUCACAGACAGCUUGCAAGGAGGAAAACGGACACAUUAGAAGACCAUGUUGAAAGUCUGCCAAUGUUACCGUCUGCUUGCUGAUAAUGAUUUUUCUUCUUCCCUGCCUGGAGGGAAGGUUGAAUUCCUGUGCAACACGGAUUGCUGGCAGUGAUGCAUUCCAGAGGGUACCACCUAAAGUUUUGAGGCAUGUAGCCUUGCCCACAAAGACAGGGACUUGGAGAGGAAAGAUGCAUAACCAGUGAAAACAAAGGUAGUAGUGCUCAGCUGUAAUCUUUUAGA